rnacentral:rRNA from 1 species
AAGAGACAGCAGUCGCCGCGGUAAUACGAAGGGUGCAAGCGUUACUCGAAAUUACUGGGCGUAAAGCGUGCGUAGGUGGUGGUUUAAGUCCGUUGUGAAAGCCCUGGGCUCAACCUGGGAAUUGCAGUGGAUACUGGGUCACUAGAGUGUGGUAGAGGAUAGUGGAAUUUCCGGUGUAGCAGUGAAAUGCGUGGAGAUCGGAAGGAACAUCUGUGGCGAAGGCGACUAUCUGGGCCAACACUGACACUGAGGCACGAAAGCGUGGGGAGCAAACAGGAUUAGAUACCCCAGUAGUCCCUGUCUCUUAUAA